rnacentral:rRNA from 1 species
CAGUCGCCACGGUAAUACGGAGGGAGCUAGCGUUGUUUGGAAUUACUGGGCGUAAAGCGCACGUAGGCGGCUAUUCAAGUCAGAGGUGAAAGCCCGGGGCUCAACCCCGGAACUGCCUUUGAAACUAGAUAGCUUGAAUCCAGGAGAGGUGAGUGGAAUUCCGAGUGUAGAGGUGAAAUUCGUAGAUAUUCGGAAGAACACCAGUGGCGAAGGCGGCUCACUGGACUGGUAUUGACGCUGAGGUGCGAAAGCGUGGGGAGCAAACAGGAUUAGAUACCCGUGUAGUCCCUGUCUCUUAUAC